rnacentral:rRNA from 1 species
UACAGAGGUCUCAAGCGUUGUUCGGAUUCAUUGGGCGUAAAGGGUGCGUAGGCGGCGCGGUAAGUCGGGUGUGAAAUCUCGGAGCUUAACUCCGAACUGCAUUCGAUACUGCCGUGCUUGAGGACUGGAGAGGAGACUGGAAUUACGGUGUAGCGGUGAAAUGCGUAGAUAUCGUAAGGAAGACCAGUGGCGGAAGGCGGGUCUCUGGACAGUCCUGACGCUGAGGCACGAAGGUCAGGGAGCGAACGGG